AUUAAAUACUGGCACAAAACAAUUAGCAAUGUAUACUAAGGUGUUUCUACUAGCUGUCCUUUUUUGCUUGGUGGGUGCUGUCCUUUCCCAAAUAAAACCUAAUGACCGUGAAAAAUGGUGCCGACUUAACUUAGGACCUGCUUAUGGCGGAAAAUGCUAAACAUUAAAAAGAGUGUAAAAUUCAGUUUAUACUUCUGCAAAAUAAAGAAGGAAACGUGGUUAUUGGAUGUUAAUUAAA